UACGUAGGGGGCUAGCGUUGUCCGGAUUUAUUGGGCGUAAAGAGCGUGUAGGCGGCCAGAUAGGUCUGCUGUGAAAACUCGAGGCUCAACCUCGAGCUGUCGGCGGAAACCAUUUGGCUAGAGUCCGGAAGAGGAAAGUGGAAUUCCUGGUGUAGCGGUGAAAUGCGCAGAUAUCAGGAAGAACACCCGUGGCGAAGGCGGCUUUCUGGGACGGUACUGACGCUGAGACGCGAAAGCGUGGGGAGCGAACAGGAUUAGAUACCCUGGUAGUCCACGCUGUAAACGAUGGGUGCUAGGUGUGGGCGGUGUCGACUCCGUCCGUGCCGAAGCUAACGCAUUAAGUCGUCCGCCUGGGGAGUACGGCCGCAAGGUUGAA
rnacentral:rRNA from 1 species